AUUGACUGUAUUCCGGAUGUGAUCGAUAACAUCAGUGCCAACCUCGUGGGUUCCAGAACCCUGCUUAUUUUAUCGUCUUUAAAGCCACCUAUGUACAACUGCAUUUGCAACCAAAAAAUUCUACUCGUUGAAUUGCUGGAGAGAGCACUAACGCUCGUGGACGAAUGUCCAUGCUCACACAGUAGAAGAUGGGCAAACGCCUCCACCCCUGUAAUAGCUACACCCGUGAAUGGCGGCAAGGGAUUAAAAGAUACCCCAAUGGCGCCAAAAAGAAAUUGUCUACCGAGACGACUCUUGACGGGGGGGGGGUGUGAAGAUGGAUCCCUGCAGUGGGAACUCUCCCCCAUUGGGUUAGAUUUUUUUUGGAUCACUCACACGUCGUUUUAUAUCAAAUAUAAAAUGAAGAAAUUUCAAUUAUUUAAAAUCAAUAUACUGUGUUUACAGUGUAGACUCCGACGUCAACAACACAACGCUGAAGAGAUCCUCGUAGGUUUUUUUUUAAUUUCUUUGUUUCGAAUAGACUGACAAUUUUUACAUUGCGAAAGAAAAUUAUUUCUUUUCUUAACCUUUUAUUUUCUCAGUUCUGAGGUUCUAGCUAUUCCCUUGUAAGUCAUUUUUUUAUCUAUAAUACACUACCUUAAUUAUCUGAAAGUUUUACAUAGUCAUACAUUUUUUUGAAGAAGUAGCUCGUUUCUGAUCAAAAAAUGUGUAUUUUAAUUGUAAUAAUAGCGACCUGUCAGGUUUGGACGAAUCAGUCUUUAUAUCGGACGACGAACAAGACGAAAGUCACGUCCCUGCAUCCCAAAAGAAGACACCCGAAAAGAAGACAAUGUCAAAUUAAUUGAAUAAAUAAUGUAUUAUCUUGC
rnacentral:misc_RNA from 1 species